CUUCAGAGCCCACCGCUUCCUCUGUGGUUUAUUUCAAGUCAGUGUCAGUGUGACACUGGGAGAGAAAGCGUGCGUGGCAACGGGCCUGAGGUGCUUGAGAUGUUACACCCGGUUGAAGCUGCCGCCAGACCGAGCUACAGCCAUUUAUCAUGGAGAAAUACAUGACAAGCGGCCUUCGCAGGCGGUUGCCCUGGGUUUAUACAAGAGAAAGCCCAGAUCACAUUCCAUUUCUUCACGUGCAUUUCAACUUCGGGGCCUGUGUGUGAGUCUUUGCGAGCUGCCGGACCAGACUCAGAUCGUUUAUUGUGAGAGGAGGGUUGAACAUCCACUGCUCAUUUGUGGGGAUGCGGAGUCGGGUGGUGCAGCUUCAGACACAUCGCUCAGGUCUGAUAAGGAAGCGUUAAUGGGAUGUGUUGACAGCUUUGUGCGUCUGCCACUGCCUGGGUCGAGUCUGCAGGCGGUGACGACAGCUGACGCCUCCACGGGGUUUUAAAAUAGUGAAGUCACACGACGCGGUUGAGCACAGUCUCCACGUGGUUUCACUCCCAGUCUUUGCUGACAGGGAUCAGCAGCCUUUUACUGCACCGUCACUGAGGUUGUGGUUUACACACGUGAACGAAUGAUACCUAUGGUAUAAUCAUGUAAAGUUUAAUGCUGUGUCUUUUAUUCUGAGUGUCUGAGCUCAGUCUGAGCAUAUGAUAAGAGAGGCAAGCUUGGCCCAGACGACGGCACCAUGAGCUGAUAUCAACAUGACCAGCAUGUCCCAGCAGGGGGCGCUGCUCUGUCAUCUGAGGUCAUCUGAAGACAGACGCUUCCUCACGUGCAUCUACUGCUGAAGUACUUGUAGCCGAGGGAAACCAGCGCUAAGGAUGAAGAGGAGGCCGGGGAUCCACAUCAUCUGGGUCAGGAGAACCAGAAGCAGAGCAAAGACAAAGGAACUGGACUCACGUCAAACAGUCGGCCCGGAUGAAGAUGGAUGUCUCUGCCGCAGCCCCUGCAACAGGCUGCUCUCCUCCGAUGAGCUAAACGGCGCCGUACGGAGAGGGAUGCGAGCAGUGCAGCGCUGAUUCCGACAGUCAUGCAUUUAAUUUCAUGCCAGAAAACCAAACGUUUCAGAUUUGCAGGUGCAAAGCGAACAGAGUUAAUGCAUGAAGUGAGCAGCAUCUCCUCGAACGCUGCUCAGGCAAAUGUUUCCUCUGGUUUGGUUUGAACCGAAGCUUCUCUACUUUCAAAACUAAUCUGAAACUUCGAAUGUGAACCAGAUCUGGGUCUAGGUUUGCACUCACAUUAUUAUAGUAGGAUUAAUCAUGUUUUAGUUUUUAUUAUUGUAAAAUCUGUCGCCCCCAAAACACUGGAGAUUUAAAGAGCAUCUGUAUGAAAUAAAGUCCAUAUGCUGCGUCACUGUUCUGCUUUUUGGGGGAUGAAAGUCACACAAAGCUGAGAAUCUAAUCUCAGGGCUCUGUGGAAAACACUUCAGACAGACGGUGAAACAGGAACAAGCAGGAAAUUCUGGGCUUUAGAUG